rnacentral:rRNA from 1 species
UACUAACUCUGGCGGCGUGCCUAAUACAUGCAAGUAGAACGCUGAAGAGAGGAGCUUGCUCUUCUUGGAUGAGUUGCGAACGGGUGAGUAACGCGUAGGUAACCUGCCUUGUAGCGGGGGAUAACUAUUGGAAACGAUAGCUAAUACCGCAUAACAAUGGAUGACACAUGUCAUUUAUUUGAAAGGGGCAAUUGCUCCACUACAAGAUGGACCUGCGUUGUAUUAGCUAGUAGGUGAGGUAAUGGCUCACCUAGGCGACGAUACAUAGCCGACCUGAGAGGGUGAUCGGCCACACUGGGACUGAGACACGGCCCAGACUCCUACGGGAGGCAGCAGUAGGGAAUCUUCGGCAAUGGGGGCAACCCUGACCGAGCAACGCCGCGUGAGUGAAGAAGGUUUUCGGAUCGUAAAGCUCUGUUGUAAGUCAAGAACGGGUGUGAGAGUGGAAAGUUCACACUGUGACGGUAGCUUACCAGAAAGGGACGGCUAACUACGUG